AGCGAACGCUGGCGGCAGGCUUAACACAUGCAAGUCGAGCGGGCCUUUCGGGGUCAGCGGCGGACGGGUGAGUAACGCGUGGGAACGUGCCCUCUGGUUCGGAAUAACUCAGGGAAACUUGAGCUAAUACCGGAUACGCCCUUUUGGGGAAAGGCUUGCUGCCGGAGGAUCGGCCCGCGUCUGAUUAGCUAGUUGGUGAGGUGACGGCUCACCAAGGCGACGAUCAGUAGCUGGUCUGAGAGGAUGAUCAGCCACACUGGGACUGAGACACGGCCCAGACUCCUACGGGAGGCAGCAGUGGGGAAUAUUGGACAAUGGGCGCAAGCCUGAUCCAGCCAUGCCGCGUGAGUGAUGAAGGCCUUAGGGUUGUAAAGCUCUUUUAUCCGGGACGAUAAUGACGGUACCGGAGGAAUAAGCCCCGGCUAACUUCGUG
rnacentral:rRNA from 1 species